GCGGAGAUAUGGAGAGCUGCAAAAUCAGCCUUCACACGGCAGGGGUCGCAGGUUCGAACCCUGCACCGCC
rnacentral:tRNA from 1 species